UUAGGAUUCUAGUGGCGGACGGGUGAGUAACACGUGAGAACCUGCCUUCAGAAUGGGGACAACAGUUGGAAACGACUGCUAAUACCCAAUGUGCCGAAAGGUGAAAGAUUUAUCGUCUGAAGAUGGGCUCGCGUCUGAUUAGCUAGAUGGUGGGGUAAGAGCCUACCAUGGCAACGAUCAGUAGCUGGUCUGAGAGGAUGAGCAGCCACACUGGGACUGAGACACGGCCCAGACUCCUACGGGAGGCAGCAGUGGGGAAUUUUCCGCAAUGGGCGAAAGCCUGACGGAGCAAUACCGCGUGAGGGAGGAAGGUCCUUGGAUUGUAAACCUCUUUUAUCAGGGAAGAAAAAAAUGACGGUACCUGAUGAAUAAGCAUCGGCUAACUCCGUGCCAGCAGCCGCGGUAAUACGGAGGAUGCGAGCGUUAUCCGGAAUUAUUGGGCGUAAAGCGUCCGUAGGUGGUCAUGCAAGUCUGCCGUUAAAGAAUGGAGCUCAACUCCAUGCAGGCGGUGGAAACUGCAAGACUAGAGUACAGUAGGGGUAGCAGGAAUUCCCAGUGUAGCGGUGAAAUGCGUAGAUAUUGGGAAGAACAUCGGUGGCGAAAGCGUGCUACUGGGCUGAAACUGACACUGAGGGACGAAAGCUAGGGUAGCGAAAGGGAUUAGAUACCCCUGUAGUCCUAGCCGUAAACGAUGGAUACUAGGCGUGGCUUGUAUCGACCCGAGCCGUGCCGAAGCUAACGCGUUAAGUAUCCCGCCUGGGGAGUACGCACGCAAGUGUGAAACUCAAAGGAAUUGACGG
rnacentral:rRNA from 1 species